CGAAAGCCUGACGGAGCAAGACCGCGUGGGGGAGGAAGGCUCUAGGGUUGUAAACCCCUUUUCUUUGGGAAGAACAAAAUGACGGUACCAAAGGAAUCAGCCUCGGCUAACUCCGUGCCAGCAGCCGCGGUAAUACGGAGGAGGCAAGCGUUAUCCGGAAUUAUUGGGCGUAAAGGGUCCGCAGGUGGUGGGGCAAGUCGGCGGUUAAAGACUGGGGCUUAACUCCAGAAAGGCCGUGGAAACUGCACCACUAGAGGGCAGUAGGGGUAGAGGGAAUUCCCGGUGUAGCGGUGAAAUGCGUAGAGAUCGGGAAGAACACCAGUGGCGAAAGCGCUCUACUGGACUGCAACUGACACUGAGGGACGAAAGCUAGGGGAGCG
rnacentral:rRNA from 1 species